rnacentral:lncRNA from 1 species
AUUUCAUGCAGUUUACUGUCGUGUGAAGUCAGCAAAGAACUUGCAUGUUUCCAGUCUGUCAGUCCUGAGUUGUGUCCGAGUUCAUGUAGUUAGAUUACAUCAGUCAGAACUAAAGGCCAGUCAGCAGGGUCUGCAGACAGUGGUUCAUGCUCAGCAGCAGGAUUUGGUGGGGAUGCUGCUACAGGGAUGCACACACACACACGUGAAGAAUCCUGCUGGGGAGAAGUGGAAGAAAAUGGGUCUUCAUCCUCAUCCUCAGGCUCAGACAACAUUUGUGAAGACACCAGUGUGGCUGAGGAGGUGGAUGGCUCCUCAUCCUGAGGCUCCGAGAUCAUUUCUGAAGAGGCCUGUGUGGCAGAGGAGGUGGAUGGCUCCUCAUCCUGAGGCUCCGAGAUCAUUUCUGAAGAGGCCUGUGUGGCCGAGGAGGUGGAUGGCUCCUCAUCCUGGCCAGUGCCAGAGGGUGCUCCAAAAUAUUUCAGAAGUGCCCCUGAAUUUGCAGUGAAAUACAGUCUGACACCCUAAAUACAUUUGUUGCACAAUUAAAUGCACGUCAUUAUGCACAAUUUAUCAAACUUUCAGAAUAGGAACCAAAUGAACCAUACAACCUCAUUGGCUUAUUCUAGGCAUAAGACACCUCAAAAGACUCAAUAUAUCACAAAAGAUACAAAAUAUCGGCAUAAUGUAGACAUCUUUUAAGUUAGCCUACAGCAUUGGAAAUUCCCCUUAUUGAGCUCAGGACCUAGUCAAUACAAUCACAGAAAUCCUUUAUGAUGUCACCUCAAUGAAAGUUAACCAAAUCAAUAAUGUGCUAGUUAGGUUGUAAUCGUUUUGCUGCAGGCUACACACAUUAUCAUGAUAAAACUGUGUGAAAUUAUAUCCAAUGUUAUGGAAGCUAGUUGGACAGAAAACGGAAUAUUGUCACCCUGUGUGUAAUAGCAUAGCAAGCAACAUAGGCUAACAAACAUAAGUGUUAUACUAGCCUAUUUCAUUACAUGCAUAUUAUUGUACUCAUAAAGAG